rnacentral:rRNA from 1 species
AAUCAACGCUGGCGGCGUGCCUAACACAUGCAAGUCGAACGAGAAAGUGGAGCAAUCCAUGAGUAAAGUGGCGCACGGGUGAGUAACACGUGACUAACCUACCCUUGAGUGGGGGAUAACCUCGGGAAACCGGGGCUAAUACCGCAUAAUACCGAGAGGUCAAAGGAGCAAUUCGCUUAAGGAGGGGGUCGCGGCUGAUUAGCUAGUUGGUGAGGUAAUGGCUCACCAAGGCGAUGAUCAGUAUCCGGCCUGAGAGGGCGCACGGACACACUGGAACUGAAACACGGUCCAGACUCCUACGGGAGGCAGCAGGUGGGG